UUAAUUAAAUUGGGUUUUCUUAUUUUUAAUUAAUUGAACUAUUAUUAGUUUGAUUAAUUUAUUUAAAGGAUAAUUUUUAUAAUAAUAUUAAAUUAUUAUUAAGUGCAUAUUUUAAGUAAUUACUUAUCAUAUGCUAAGCAUGACAUGACAUUUCAUUUGCAUCAUGAAAUAAAAAGUAUUUAUGAUUUAAUUGGUUUUAUUUAUAAUUCCAAUUAUUAAAGAAAGAUGAGUAAGAAUAUUGUUGGUGUUCUUAACUCAAGAGAAAUGUUUUUAAUUAUUUAUUCAUUAAAAACCCGGCUAAGUGAAUCAUAGAAUGUUAAGCACUACACCAUGACUUAAGAUUAGAUUCAAGGAGACCUAUUAAGAAUAGAAUUUCUUGUAGGCUUUGUGGACCAAGGGGAUUAGCACUGUUUUCCCAAGACAGGUUAUGUGAUUAUGAUCUUCAGGCUUUGCCUAUCCAGGUUGAGCAGUUGAUGGAAUGGAAUGAUGUUGAGCGGGUGUUCCUUUGACAUUUCAAGAAAUGUAACCUUGAGUAUACAUCUUCAUAUGUAUAUCUCACACGUUUUCCGCUGCAAAACACUUUGAUUAAGAUAGCUCUAUGAUAUGAAGUUGUGAUACGUGUUAUUGGGUAACCACCUUAAUCAGUUCUCAAUUAUGUGUAUCCAAAUAAUCAUAUAUGAUCCUAGCAUUUUAUCUAUGAGUGACAUUUCCAUAUACUUUAAUGUUAAGUAAUUGUCCAUUUCCAUUUCU